rnacentral:pre_miRNA from 1 species
UGGCCAAGUAAUAGUCGUCGUCGGCAUAGUCGUCGUUCCCCCAAAAAUGAAAGUGAUGAUGACUAUGCCGACGACAACUAUAGCUUGGCCAAAU